GCCCAGGUAGCUCAGUUGGUAGAGCAGAGGACUGAAAAUCCUCGUGUCGCUGGUUCGAUUCCGGCUCUGGGCACCA
rnacentral:tRNA from 1 species